AUGGCUUCAUCCAGUUCCAUGACGAGGCCACCGUGUGCUCACCAAGAAGACAUGUCACACAAGUGGAAGGACGCAUCUUUGGACAUGGUGAAGGAGAAAGAUGUGAAGAUUCCGCCAUGUUGGUGUUGAGAUGUUUGCAAGGUGAAGGAGUUCACCGACCGAAAGAAGUCAUGGACCGAAGGAAGGAGAUAUUUUGUUUGCCCCAAUUAUGCUUACGAUCGUGCGCUUCCAACUAACGCCUAUGACCUUCCACCGGUAUGCUAG
rnacentral:rRNA from 1 species